UACGUAGGGGGCAAGCGUUGUCCGGAUUCAUUGGGCGUAAAGAGCGUGUAGGCGGCCAGGUAGGUCGGUUGUGAAAACUCGAGGCUCAACCUCGAGACGUCGGCGGAAACCCCCUGGCUAGAGUCCGGAAGAGGAGAGUGGAAUUCCUGGUGUAGCGGUGAAAUGCGCAGAUAUCAGGAAGAACACCCGUGGCGAAGGCGGCUCUCUGGGACGGUACUGACGCUGAGACGCGAAAGCGUGGGGAGCAAACAGG
rnacentral:rRNA from 1 species